GAGGGUAUAGCUCAGUGGUAGAGUACAUGCCUAGCAUGCAUGAAGUCCUGGGUUCAAUCCCUAAUACCUCCA
rnacentral:tRNA from 1 species